UGUUGGAAGCAGGGGGCGACUUUCAACAAACCCGCGGGGGUCUUCCUGUCUCUCCUACGCGCGCCGGGCCUUGUUUCUGUCUGCAGACCCAGGUGCCUCCGCCGCAUCUUCUGGCGCUCUGUGUACAGCGCUGGUCGCAGGAGCGGUGGAGGGGACGCCGGGACACCCCGGAAGCUGGGAAAUGGAAAAAAAUGGGAAGACCAGAACACUGAAGAUCAGUAUGAAAAAUCCCAGGAGAAAUUUAAAGUAAUUUGCACUCA